CAAGAGGCGAACCAGGGGAACUGAAACAUCUAAGUACCCUGAGGAAAAGAAAUCAACCGAGAUUCCCUUAGUAGUGGCGAGCGAACGGGGAUUAGCCCUUAAGCUUCAUUGAUUUUAGCGGAACGCUCUGGAAAGUGCGGCCAUAGUGGGUGAUAGCCCCGUACGCGAAAGGAUCUUUGAAGUGAAAUCGAGUAGGACGGAGCACGAGAAACUUUGUCUGAACAUGGGGGGACCAUCCUCCAAGGCUAAAUACUACUGACUGACCGAUAGUGAACCAGUACCGUGAGGGAAAGGCGAAAAGAACCCCGGAGAGGGGAGUGAAAUAGAACCUGAAACCGUAUGCGUACAAGCAGUGGGAGCCUACUUGUUAGGUGACUGCGUACCUUUUGUAUAAUGGGUCAGCGACUUAUAUUCAGUGGCAAGCUUAACCGUAUAGGGUAGGCGUAGCGAAAGCGAGUCUUAAUAGGGCGUUUAGUCGCUGGGUAUAGACCCGAAACCGGGCGAUCUAUCCAUGAGCAGGUUGAAGGUUAGGUAACACUGACUGGAGGACCGAACCCACUCCCGUUGAAAAGGUAGGGGAUGACUUGUGGAUCGGAGUGAAAGGCUAAUCAAGCUCGGAGAUAGCUGGUUCUCCUCGAAAGCUAUUUAGGUAGCGCCUCAUGUAUCACUCUGGGGGGUAGAGCACUGUUUCGGCUAGGGGGUCAUCCCGACUUACCAAACCGAUGCAAACUCCGAAUACCCAGAAGUGCCGAGCAUGGGAGACACACGGCGGGUGCUAACGUCCGUCGUGAAAAGGGAAACAACCCAGACCGCCAGCUAAGGUCCCAAAGUUGUGGUUAAGUGGUAAACGAUGUGGGAAGGCUUAGACAGCUAGGAGGUUGGCUUAGAAGCAGCCACCCUUUAAAGAAAGCGUAAUAGCUCACUAGUCGAGUCGGCCUGCGCGGAAGAUGUAACGGGGCUCAAACCACACACCGAAGCUGCGGGUGUCACGUAAGUGACGCGGUAGAGGAGCGUUCUGUAAGCCUGUGAAGGUGAGUUGAGAAGCUUGCUGGAGGUAUCAGAAGUGCGA
rnacentral:rRNA from 1 species